rnacentral:rRNA from 1 species
AUGUAUGUAAGCACCUGCCAGCAUGAGCAGAGCAGGUGCACUGCCAUGCAUGUAAACCGACCCCUAAAUAAAAUCUCCCGUGGUUUAACCUAUACUUGUGUUUGUACUAUCAACUUGCGAGGUGCCUGGGUUGUUACUAGACCAGCUGAAUGCUCUCUUGAAGCAACGUAUGCACCGCUUGGAAUCGGUGUAUCUUUAUACACCUGUGUAUUUAUUUUACAGGUGUAUAUUUUUCUUAGAAGAAAAAGGCUGCGCCCCUGUUCCAUUUCAGAAGAAACGAAACAACGAUCCAGAGUGUGUUACAUCAUGUAG